rnacentral:rRNA from 1 species
CUCGCCUACAUGAAGCUGGAGUUGCUAGUAAUCGCGAAUCAGCAUGUCGCGGUGAAUACGUUCCCGGGCCUUGUACACACCGCCCGUCACACCAUGAGAGUUGGCAAUACCCAACGUACGUGAUCUAACCCGCAAGGGAGGAAGCGUCCUAAGGUAGGGUCAGCGAUUGGGGUGAAGUCGUAACAAGGUAUC